rnacentral:rRNA from 2 species
GACUGCCGGUGAUAAACCGGAGGAAGGUGGGGACGACGUCAAGUCAUCAUGGCCCUUACGAGUAGGGCUACACACGUGCUACAAUGGCAGAUACAGAGGGCAGCGAAGCUGCGAAGUGGAGCGAAUCCCUUAAAGUUUGUCGUAGUCCGGAUUGGAGUCUGCAACUCGACUCCAUGAAGUCGGAAUCGCUAGUAAUCGUGGAUCAGAAUGCCACGGUGAAUACGUUCCCGGGCCUUGUACACACCGCCCGUCACACCAUGGGAGUGGGCUGCACCAGAAGUAGAUAGCUUAACCUUCGGGAGGGCGUUUACCACGGUGUGGUUCAUGACUGGGGUGAAGUCGUAACAAGGUAGCCCUAGGGGAACCUGGGGCUGGAUCACCUCCUUACU